AUCGAGAGAGGGGCUUCGCGCUCCCGGGGGCUUCGGCCCCUACCUCUUCACCCAUUGCUAAUUUACCCUUGUUGCUUUGGCGGAUCGCGGGGUACUCCCCGCGCCGAUCUACCGGUCGGUGAGCGUCCGCCAGAGGCCUAUUAAACUCUGUUUAUUAGUGACGUCCGAGUAAAAACAAAUAAUAAAAACUUUCAACAACGGAUCUCUUGGUUCCAGCAUCGAUGAAGAACGCAGCGAAAUGCGAUAAGUAAUGUGAAUUGCAGAAUUCAGUGAAUCAUCGAAUCUUUGAACGCACAUUGCGCCCCCUGGUAUUCCGGGGGGCAUACCUGUUCGAGCGUCAUUGCACCCCUCAAGCGCAGCUUGGUAUUGGGCUCUCGCCCCCGCGGCGUGCCCGAAAAGCAGUGGCGGUCCGGUGUGACUUUAAGCGUAGUAAAUUUCUCCCGCUUUGAAAGGUCGCCCCGUGGCCUGCCAGACAACCCCAUAUACUCCAAUAAUUGACCCUCGGAUCAGGUAGGGAUACCCCGCUGAACUAAGCA
rnacentral:rRNA from 1 species